GGUACAGGUGCAGGAUAGGGCUACAGGUGUCGGUUAUGGGUUCAGGUCUUGGAUAUGGGUAGAGGUCUUGGAUAAGUGUACAGGUGCAGAAUAUGAGUACAGGUAUCCGAUGAGGGCUCAGGUCUUGGAAUGGUACAGGUCUUGGAUAUGGGUACAGGUCUUUUUGUGGGUUCAGGAGAUGGAUUUGUGUUCAACUUUUGGGAAGCAGCACAGGUACUGGAUAUGGGUACAGGUAUUGGAUAUGGUUACAGGUCUUGGAUAUGGGUACAGGUCUUGGAUAUGGGUACAGCGCUUGGAUAAGGGGACUGGUGCAGAUUAGGGGUACAGGUGUCGGAUAUGGGUUCAGGUCUUGGAUAUGGGUACAGGGCUUGGAUAAGGGUACAGGUGCAGGAUAGGGGUACAGGUCUCGGAUAUGGGUUCAGGUCUUGGAUAUGGGUACAGGGCUUGGAUAUGGGUACAGG